GACGAACGCUGGCGGCGUGCCUAACACAUGCAAGUCUCGGGAGAAAGAGGUAGCAAUACUUCGAGUAAACCGGCGCAAGGGUGAGUAACACGUAGGCAACCUGCCUUCAGGACGGGGACAACUCCGAGAAAUCGGGGCUAAUACCCGAUAAUGCAGCGGCACCGCAUGGUGACAGUUGUUAAAUGCUACGGCGCCUGAAGAUGGGCCUGCGUCCCAUUAGGUAGUUGGCGGGGUAACGGCCCACCAAGCCGACGAUGGGUAGCUGGUCUGAGAGGACGAUCAGCCACACUGGAACUGAGACACGGUCCAGACUCCUACGGGAGGCAGCAGUGAGGAAUAUUGCGCAAUGCCCGAAAGGGUGACGCAGCGACGCCGCGUGGAGGAUGAAGGCCCUCUGGGUCGUAAACUCCUGUUGAGAGGGAAGAAUGGAGCGCUAUAGGCGCUCGUGACGGUACCUCUAGAGAAAGCACCGGCUAACUACGUGCCAGCCGCCGCCGUAA
rnacentral:rRNA from 1 species